CAAACAUGUCUUUUUGAAGUUCUUAAAUGACGUUUUAAAUCUAUUUUAUGUAUGUUGUUUGUUCUGGUGCUGUUGUAUUGCCGAUAGGUGAAAUUAUUAAAUCUGAACUUAUACUCUUAUAUCUGCUUUGUGUCAUGAUAUGACAAAACAGGUUAUCAUGCAUAUGAUGAAGUUUAUCAAUCACUCUUGUAAAUAAUGUCAUUUAGAAUCUUGCUGCCUUUUUCUUGUCAAUGCCUCAAAUGCUUCCAUGAUAUUUGAAAGACAAAUGGUUACCACUAGUUCAAUCUGCUGUUUACUGAAAAGGAAAUUUUUUGUUCAUUAUUUGGAGUUUUCAUAGUUAAGAAAUGAGUUUGGACUUUCAUUGAAAUUUUUGCUCAUUGAAAUUUUUGCACUGACACCAUAGUGCAUUCAUGUCACGAAAAUUCUUUUAGUCUAUCAAAUCAUAAACAUGGUUUCUGUUUUUGUUCCGGCUUAAUAGUUACAAAAAUCUUGGCAUUCAAUUUUAGAUGCAUUUUAUUCUACUUUAAACUAGUAAAGAAGACUUCUCCAUUCAUAGAUA
rnacentral:misc_RNA from 1 species